GAGCCAGUUAGUUGACCUGUUGGUGAUG
rnacentral:sRNA from 1 species